rnacentral:tRNA from 1 species
CCCAAGUGGCUCAGGUGGUAAAGAAUCUGCCUGCAAUGCAGAAGACCGGGGUUCAAUCCCUCAGUUGGGA